GAUGAACGCUGGCGGCGUGCCUAAUACAUGCAAGUCGAGCGAACGGACGAGAAGCUUGCUUCUCUGAUGUUAGCGGCGGACGGGUGAGUAACACGUGGAUAACCUACCUAUAAGACUGGGAUAACUUCGGGAAACCGUAGCUAAUACCGGAUAAUAUUUUGAACCGCAUGGUUCAAAAGUGAAAGACGGUCUUGCUGUCACUUAUAGAUGGAUCCGCGCUGCAUUAGCUAGUUGGUAGGUAACGGCUUACCAAGGCAACGAUGCAUAGCCGACCUGAGAGGGUGAUCGGUCACACUGGAACUGAGACACGUUCCAGACUCCUACGGGAGGCAGCAGUAGGGAAUCUUCCGCAAUGGGCGAAAGCCUGACGGAGCAACGCCGCGUGAGUGAUGAAGGUCUUCGGAUCGUAAAACUCUGUUAUUAGGGAAGAACAUAUGUGUAAGUAACUGUGCACAUCUUGACGGUACCUAAUCAGAAAGCCACGGCUAACUACGUG
rnacentral:rRNA from 1 species